UGGGACCUGGGCGGUCCGGGGCGCGGGGGCCGCCGGGAAGGGGGAUCUGGGCCGUUGCUCCGUCCUCCCUUAGGCCAUGCAGCCCUGAAACUCCGGAUCCUGGGGUGACUCCUGUCCCAAUUGGAAGAGACCCACUCAGUCCUGACAAGGGACAAAGGCCUAAGGGCCAGAAAGGCGAGCAGAAUCCUGGAGGACGACGGGACCACGGGACAUGAACUCAUCGCUUCCCCGUCUUUUAAAAGAAAAUAUUUGCUGCGUCUGUCCCAUCUGGAUGUAAGGAGGUUCCAAGGGUCCUGCUCACGUUGGAAAUACUUUCUGAGAGUCAUGGACAUCACGUGCAAGAGCAUGAAACACCUGUGGUUCUUCCUUCUCCUGGUGGCAGCUCCCAGACGGGUCCUGUCCCAGGUGCAGCUGCAGGAGUCGGGCCCAGGACUGGUGAAGCCUUCGGAGACCCUGUCCCUCACCUGCGCUGUCUCUGGUUACUCCAUCAGCAGUGGUUACUGGUGGAGCUGGAUCCGCCAGCCUCCAGGGAAGGGGCUGGAGUGGAUUGGGUACAUCUAUCAUAGUGGGAGCACCUACUACAACCCGUCCCUCAAGAGUCGAGCCACCAUAUCAGCAGACACGUCCAAGAACCAGUUCUCCCUGAGGCUGAGCUCUGUGACCGCCGCGGACACGGCCGUGUAUUACUGUGCGAGACACAGUGAGGGGAGGGACAUGGAUGAAUCUAGAAAUCAUAAUUCUCAGCAAACUGACACAAGAACAGAAAAUCAAACACCACAUGUUGUCACUCAUAGGUGUCCAGUGUGAGGUGCAGCUGGUGGAGUCUGGGGGAGGCUUGGUUCAGCCCGGGGGGUCCCUGAGACUCUCCUGUGCGGCCUCUGGAUUCACCUUCAGCAGCUAUGCCAUGCACUGGGUCCGCCAGGCUCCGGGGAAGGGGCUGGAGUGGGUCUCAGUUAUCAGUACUGAUGGUAGAACCACAUACUACGCAGACUCCGUGAAGGGCCUAUUCACCAUCUCCAGAGACAACGCCAAGAACUCGCUGUAUCUGCAGAUGAACAGCCUGAAAACCGAGGACACGGCCGUGUAUUACUGUGC